rnacentral:lncRNA from 1 species
GUCCGUGUGCGCCGCUGUGAUUGUUUGGCGGUGGUAAGUGUCAUCUCUCUCUCUCCGUUGUGGUUGAUGCUACUAGGUGGCUAAUGCUAGUGUGGUCACAGGUAAAUGCUGGCGGCUGCUGGAGUCCUUUCUCCCUCCCUCCUCUCAUGAGUGUGUUAGUGUCUGUGCUACUAAAAAGGUAUGUAGCCUAUACGUUAAUGCAUAACCUCAUCAUUUUAACUUACUUAGCCAAUGCUAAUGAUGGUUUUCCUUAAUUAGUUGUUACUGUAGCCACCUCCUUGGGCCGCUGCUGCUUUGUGCGUUGUUUACUACGUUCAUAUCGUUCAUAUUUGCUGCUGCUGCAUGCCGUUACGGCGUUGUCCUGCGGCCAUCGGAGGUGUCACCCCCACACAGCAAAUGUGCCAGUGUUAUUUUUUUAGUGUUGGUGUAAAUUAACAGGGGUUACUAUUAAUUUUACUCAGAAUUGAUCAAAAUUAACUCCCCCUAGAGUCAGUUCCUGAUAGUGUCAGAGUUGAUUUCCGUCGUUAUGAGAAUCACUCUGAAUUUACAUUCUGGCUCGUUAAAUUGGCCACACCCACCGUUUGAAUCGCUUGCCGUGGCAGUGACUGACUGGCACACUGGUGGCACACAGAGUCAGCAGCAGACUGCAGUCAUAGCCUACUUGUUGUCCAAAUCUCUUCUUUGGAAGAAGAAAGAACUUCUUUCUAAGCGACAUGCUGGUUCCUGUAGAGUAUAAAGGAGUCAGCAAAUGGGUCAGGGUACCACAGGCGGAGGACGAGUACAAUUACUCCCAGUUUUUGCAAGCAGGUAACUGUUAGGCUAAUUUGACUGUCAAGUUUAUUUGUGCAUUUGGGUUUUUCCAAUGUUUUUCCUAGAGACUACAGAUGAAAAUCAGUUUUCCUGCUAACUCCGGCGUAUUUAUAGUUCAUCAGCUCUGUUCAAUGCAUGUUUGUCCCUCCCAAAUCUUGCUUACAGUAUCUUAUGUUUCAGUGCUGGCAAAAUUCAAUUUGCCAGGUUCUGCUUCCUUGAGCCUGAAGGAUUCCUCUAACGUGGAAGUGGAUUCGGACAUAUUUGAUGAACUCUUGAAGUCAUCUGGGGUGUCGUUCAAGGCCGAAGAAUGUGAUGGUAGCAAUGCUGAGGAGUUCUCAGAGGGCUCAUCUUUAUCAGACUGGUCACCAUCACCAUCACGUGCAUCCCAAGGGUCAUCAUCAGGUUCUGACUCAACACUGAUACUGGAAUCUACCAAAGCUCGGAAAAGACAGCUGGUUGAAGGACCCCUGGAUAGCAACGUUGCAAGAGAUAAUGUUAGAGUUGCUCUGUAUUCAAAGCCUGGUGGAAGAGAAAUAUUCAAAGAGUAUGAGAAAACAAGCGCCAUCAGUGAUGUUACAAGAAGAAGGAUGGUAAACAUUCUUGUGGCAGAUAUGGUGGAGAGCCAUGGGUAAGUGAAUGCACUUGCAAUAACAGGUUGUGGUUGUUUUUGUUUUGUUUUUUACCUCCAAAAGUCGCUGCCGAUUAUGUCUUCACCCACACUCAUGUGCACAUCAAGGUUAUUAUAGUUUAACAUUUUUCAUUAGUUUUAUUUUUAUUUAGCUAUUCAAUUGGCUUUUUUGUUUCAGUUCAGUUUUAGUUCAUUCAUCAAGUGAUGAAUCAGUUUUAGUUUAGUUUUUAUUUUGAGGAAUUGACUAGUUUUUAUUUGGUCUUAGUUUUAGUUUUUCAGGUUUUAGGAGAAAGCCUCAGUUAGACCACGGAAGAUUAACUUCUGUUUUAGUUGCAACCCAUAAUGUUCCCAUCAGUCAUUUUCCAUUCACUCUUAUCUUAUCUCUUUUCAGGAGGGUGCCUCCGGUGAAUGUGCGGAUCCUCUACGCACUUGGGAUUACAACACUGUUCCCUAAAUUGAGGGACCCGGAUUCCAAGAACGGCUAUGUGAGUAUAAACAGUAAUGCAUCCCCAUACAUUCUGUGUUGUAAACUGUUUUUGUCUAUUGCAAGUCUGCCAGUACUGGGUGAGGGAUCCCUGCUCUGUUGCUCACCCUGAGGUUUCUCCAGUUUUUUUCCAGUUGAUGUGAGUCGAUGUGUUUUUCUUUAUCAACAGGAACAUUUCUAUGAUCACCAGAGUGGUUCCGGCUACCUAGCGUGGAGGCUGAAAACUGUUCAGCGGAACUCUGCUCAAGACAGCAAGAAAUCCAGGACCACUUUCCAAGAGGGCCCCAAGACUCCACGCAGUAUCCGUUCAGAUGAGAAGCAGUUGACCGAUGAUGAAUGCAGGGAAGCCAUAUCGGUGAUGAAACACUCAAGUGAUACAACCCUUGUCAAAAAUAAGAUGAAGGCAACAUUCCAGCACAGACAAAAGGUGGUUCAAGACCCGGAUACUGCCUCUACUGUCCUGGAUCUCUUUCCCAGAUUCUUGGAUACACCUGGCUUGGUAAGCAUAAAAUGAAUUGCUGACGACUUUGUGGUUGCCUUAUUUUGCUUGACUGUUUAUUAAUUGACACCCAUAGCACCAUUACAAUGGUGUUCUCAUUCACACACACAAACAUUUUCUGUUUAAGAUCGACCAAGACUUCACAAUGAUCUUUGGUGAGGAGGUGUCUGGUAAAUUCCUGUCCAAGUGGCCAACAUUUUUCAAACCAAGAGUCAUCGCAGAUUGCUGCAAGAAUCUAACCCCGAGUCCACAUGUGGAUGAGCUACUUCUGUCUGCACAACAGGAGAAUGAUGAUGGUGAUAAGUGUUAAUUGAAUAGUGGACACAGUAGAUUGCACAUGCCUUCAGUGUACACAACAGAAGUGGACAUUGUUGUGUUCUUUCAUGUUUUUGGCCCCUUUACUACAAAUCACAUACUGCACCUUACUGCUAACCAUAUUCAAUCCAUGGUUAAUUUAAGAAAACUUUACUAUAACUCAUACUGUAAUGCUUAUAAGGAAAUAAAAGACAUUUUAUAGUGUCACUUCUAAUUCUGCAGUGUGGCAUUCUGAAGAGUGGGACUCGGAGAUGGCCGCCAUCCUUCUGCUGCUUCACCUCUUGCCUCCAACAGUUAAAGGCAAGAAGGCCGGCAAGAUGAGCGCAUCGGAUGCUGCUAGACACCUGAUCAAGUUCAUGAAGGUAUUUUCUUAGGACUGUACAUCACUGAUGCAAGGUUUUCAUGUCAGCUGAUGUAAGGUUUUCAGGAGCCAAUAUGGCAGGGUAAUUGGGGGGGUGCAGUUAAAUAGUUUUUAAAAAGUCAUCCAUCCAUUCAUCACACAAAAAUAAAUUAAUGUUGUGUACAUUCAUAGAUCUCUCUCUCUCUCUCUCUCUCUCACUCUCACUCAGGUGGGGUCAAGCAUGGAGACCUUCCUUAAAGAAACUGGCCCCAAACAGCCCUUUCUUCUCGGUGUCGGAGAAAGAAGCAACAGCAUCCAGGACUUCUACAUCAUCCUGGACCAGAAGGCCAUUCCCUGCAGGAUGCAGACCCCAGUUGCUGCCUUUGAUGAGCUCUUCAAGGCGCAUUAUGCUUUUGCCGUGUCGUAUGAUGAUGCGCUGUCCAGCUUCUUCAUCUUCAUCCAAACCACCGUGUAUGGCAUCGACGUCGGCAAAGUGAAAGAGAGUCCUCGGGUAAAAGAAAUCAGAGCAAGGCUUCUUCACUGUGAGGUUUGAAGA